UGGGGGAUAUUGCACAAUGGGCGAAAGCCUGAUGCAGCGACGCCGCGUGGGGGAUGAAGGCCUUCGGGUUGUAAACUUCUUUUGCUCUGAACAAGGCAUGCCUUUGGGUUGUGUUGAGUGUAGGGGUUGAUUAGCGCCGGCUAACUACGUGCCAGCAGCCGCGGUAAUACGUAGGGCGCGAGCGUUGUCCGGAAUUAUUGGGCGUAAAGGGCUUGUAGGUGGCUGGUUGCGUCUGUCGUGAAAGCUCAUGGCUUAACUGUGGGUUUGCGGUGGGUACGGGCUGGCUUGAGUGCAGUAGGGGAGGCUGGAAUUCCUGGUGUAGCGGUGGAAUGCGCAGAUAUCAGGAGGAAUACCGGUGGCGAAGGCGGGUCUCUGGGCUGUUACUGACGCUGAGGAGCGAAAGCGUGGGGAGCGAACAGG
rnacentral:rRNA from 1 species